GUUUGGUGACGAAGUGUUCCAGAAGUUCCUGGCAAUGUGGUCAAUAUUCUUCAAGCCAAAAAUCAUUGCAGACUGCAAGACUCUUAAGAAUAUGGGCGAGCUGCUGUCAGGAACUGAACCUGAAUCUGAGGACUACAAUGCGACAUGUCCUCAAUCCUUUUGCAGCUGCAUCUGCUCCCUCUAACCUCAAGAGGCCAGAAAAAAAUAUCCAAGAUCAGUUCAGCUCAAGCAACCAGCCAUCUUGUGAGCUGUCUUAAGGAAGGAGCCAGUGUGAAUACCUUCAUUGAGAGUGCUGACACAAGACAACCAUUUCUCCUCUGCAUCGGUGAGCGAAAGAAGGAUAUCCCAAAGUUCUACGUCAUUAUCGACCAAAAGGC